UUAUGCUAGUAGUGGGCAUCGUGCUUAUUUAGUUGGUCAGGUCCGAGAGGAAGCAGCCAGAGUAGGAUUCGCUGGGUCACUACUAGUAACAGUU
rfam:Rickettsia bellii RML369-C, complete genome.